rnacentral:rRNA from 1 species
UACGUAGGGGGCUAGCGUUGUCCGGAAUCAUUGGGCGUAAAGCGCGUGUAGGCGGUCCGGUAAGUCCGCUGUGAAAGUCGGGGGGCUCAACCCUCGGAUGCCGGUGGAUACUGUCGGGCUUGAGUACGGAAGAGGCGAGUGGAAUUCCUGGUGUAGCGGUGAAAUGCGCAGAUAUCAAGGAGGAACACCGGUGGCGAAGGCGGGGUCUCUGGGCCGAAACUGACGCUGAGGAGCGAAAGCGUGGGGAGCAGACAGG